AACGUAGGGUCCGAGCGUUGUCCGGAAUUAUUGGGCGUAAAGGGCUCGUAGGCGGUUUGUCGCGUCGGGAGUGAAAACGCCGGGCUUAACCCGGUGCUUGCUUUCGAUACGGGCAGACUGGAGGUAUGCAGGGGAGAACGGAAUUCCUGGUGUAGCGGUGAAAUGCGCAGAUAUCAGGAGGAACACCGGUGGCGAAGGCGGUUCUCUGGGCAUGACCUGACGCUGAGGAGCGAAAGUGUGGGGAGCGAACAGG
rnacentral:rRNA from 1 species